AUUGAACGCUGGCGGCAUGCCUUACACAUGCAAGUCGAACGGCAGCACGGGAGCAAUCCUGAUGGCGAGUGGCGAACGGGUGAGUAAAGUAUCGGAACGUGCCCAGUCGUGGGGGAUAACGUAGCGAAAGUUACGCUAAUACCGCAUACGAUCUAUGGAUGAAAGCGGGGGAUCGCAAGACCUCGCGCGAUUGGAGCGGCCGAUAUCAGAUUAGGUAGUUGGUGGGGUAAAGGCUCACCAAGCCGACGAUCUGUAGCUGGUCUGAGGGGACGACCAGCCACAAUGGGACUGAGACGCGGCCCAGACUCCUGCGGGAGGCAGCAGUGGGGAAUGUGGGACAAUGGGCGAAAGCCUGAUCCAGCCAUGCCGCGUGCAGGAUGAAGGCCUUCGGGUUGUAAACUGCUUUUGUACGGAACGAAAAGGUUUGGCCUAAUAAGCUGAGCUCAUGACGGUACCGUAAGAAUAAGCACCGGCUAACUACGUGCCAGCCGCCGCGGUAA
rnacentral:rRNA from 1 species